GGAGAGAUGACCGAGUGGCCGAAGGUGCACGAUUGGAAAUCGUGUGUGUCGCAAGGCACCGCGGGUUCGAAUCCCGCUCUCUCCG
rnacentral:tRNA from 1 species